UACGAAGGGGGCUAGCGUUGUUCGGAAUUACUGGGCGUAAAGCGCACGUAGGCGGACAUUUAAGUCAGGGGGGAAAUCCCGGAGCUCAACUCCGGAACUGCCUUUGAUACUGGGUGUCUUGAGUGUGGAAGAGGUGAGUGGAAUUCCGAGUGUAGAGGUGAAAUUCGUAGAUAUUCGGAGGAACACCAGUGGCGAAGGCGGCUCACUGGUCCAUUACUGACGCUGAGGUGCGAAAGCGUGGGGAGCAAACAGG
rnacentral:rRNA from 1 species